AUGAAUUGUAAUGGGGCUUGAUGCUGGCCGCCAUCCUUUGGUUGCAUGUGCUCGCCCCCAGCAAUCCUUUUUCAAACACCUGUGCACCUUGUGACAAUGAGGGAAGGGGUUUCCCCGUUCCAUCUUGUCUCAUAAAUCCAUAAACGCUGCUUGUAAUGUUGAAUGCCCUUGUGCCGUUAAGGCCUUAACAUAAUA
rnacentral:misc_RNA from 1 species